ACAAAUAUACUGAAAGGUGCAUAGUAUACUUACAGAAUUAAAGAACAAUAACAGAAUUAAAGAACAAUAACAUACUUACAGAAUUAAAGACAAAUAUACUGAAAGGUGCAAUAACAUACUUUCAAUAAGUUAACAUUCCAGAAUUAAAGAACAAAGAAGACCUCAAAAUUGAAUAGUUGAUAAAUUUUGAUGCUAUGCUUACAGAAUGUAAAGACAAAUAUACUGAAAGGUGCAUAGUAUACUUACAGAAUGAUUUAAGGAUUGAUUCCAAAAGUCCAAAAGCUUUUUCCACUUCUAUAUAAUUGAAACCUAAAUAGCAUAAGUUAGCAUAAUUUUGUUAUCUGAAGAACAUGUUGAAGAAAAUUGAGAGGGUAAAAAAAACUCACCCAAGGCAGAGGUUAUUGCAGUAGAGUUUAGAGUGUAUACAUGUAUUUCCUUAUUGCUCUUUUAUUACCUGACAACUUAUAAUAUAUUAUAAAUUCAGAUUUGCCGCUUUUUUCAGAUUGCCGCUCUUUUCACAUAUGGUUUGAAGAGUUUUGCAUUCAACAUUUUGGUGGGUAUUUUCAAAAUUUUGUAAGCUGAAUGUGUGGGGCCCGCAAUACACUAUAGCAACGCCUGUUUUUGAAGAGAAUUUUGCAAGUGGCUUGUGUGGGGCCCAUAAAACACUGUAGCAACGAUUGGUUUGAAGAUUUAUUCAAGCAACUUUGAAUAAUGUUCUUUUCACAGAUUGCCAAUUAUUUUCUUUUUUUGUUUAAAGUUUUUUUCAGAUUGCCGCUC